rnacentral:rRNA from 1 species
AUGGACGGCGCCGACAGCAUGCGGUUCCAGCGGCAGGCGUCCUGCUCCUGCGCCCCCUCCAUGUCCCGCGGCUACGUCCGCGGCGGCUUCGACCUCGACGACGACGACUUCGACGACGGGCACUUCGACAAGGCCGGCGCCGCCCUGCACGGGAGGGCGCCGCCCGCCGCCGCGUCGUCGCGCGGGUGCGGCACGAAGCUGAGGGGCCUGUGGCGGAAGAUCGUCCGGGAGAAGAAGAGGAUACUGCUCUGCUCCACCGGCUGCGUGCCCGUCGGGGGCUCGUCCGCGGCGGCGGCGCGGGAGCCAUACGACGCGUACAGCUACGCGCAGAACUUCGACGACGGCGCGGCCUGGGUGGAGCCCGACAACCUCUCGCGCUCCUUCUCCGCGCGCUUCGCCGUCCCCUCCAGGGUCCUGCAGCGGGUCGCCGUGUAG